AUCCAUGCACCUUUUUUCCCCAUAUAUAUCAACAACAUAUGGUUAAGGGGGGAAGGGGUCCACAGGGAUAUUCCUUUUUUAUUCUUUCUUUCCAUUUGAUAGAGAGGCAUACAAAGAGAGAGAUCGAAGGGGUUAAGGAGAAUCAGAGAGAUUGAGAGAGAAGAUGAUCGGAAACUAAGAAAGGGAGGGAGAGAGAGGAAGUUGAGUGAAACAGAAGAGAGAAAAGGAGUAAGGUUCAACGAGUAACCUUUUUUCCUGCGGGUUCUUUUCGGAAACAGUAUCGACGUAAGGUUGUGCCAAGUUUCUCGUCACCACUAGGGUCGCCGAAAUUCCGGCAGGGUAAGAAUAGUAUGGCCAGCUCCGUUCCUACCCGAAUCCGACUCGAAACAGUCGAGUUUGACUUUUUCUGUUUGAUUCCAGCGACGUCUAUCAGAAGACGGUAGAAAUUGGCAAUUUGGGGGUCCGUAUUGACGUUGUUUCGGUUUGUUUAAAUCUAUUCGGUUGGUUUUUCUAUAUUCUGAGUUGGCGUUGUUCGUUGUAGAGUUUCAAAUCAAGUAUUUCGGAU
rnacentral:lncRNA from 1 species